rnacentral:rRNA from 1 species
AGGACUAACGCUGGCGGCGUGCCUAACACAUGCAAGUCGAGCGGGGUAGCAAUACCCAGCGGCAGACGGGUGAGUAACGCGUGGUCAACCUUCCGUUGAAUGGGGGAUAACUAGCCGAAAGGUUAGCUAAUACCGCAUACGAUCUUUUGAAGGCAUCUUUAAAAGAUGAAAGGAGCAAUUCGUUCAACGACGGGACCGCGUCCCAUUAGCUAGAUGGUGGGGUAAUGGCCUACCAUGGCAACGAUGGGUAGCUGGUUUGAGAGAGCGACCAGCCACACUGGGACUGAGAAACGGCCCAGACUCCUACGGGAGGCAGCAGUGAGGAAUUUUCCGCAAUGGGCGAAAGCCUGACGGAGCGACGCCGCGUGUGGGAAGAAGGCCUUCGGGUCGUAAACCACUGUCGAAGGGGACGAUAAUGACGGUACCCUUGGAGGAAGCCCGGCUAACUACGUGCCAGCAGCCGC